AGUCCACCAGUAACGUCUCUCUCUCUCUCUCUCUCUCUCUCUCUCUCAUAGAACGCCAAUUCAAACCCUGUUUAAUCGCUCGUUCUAGGGUUUUACAAAUCCCCUGAUUCUCAACGAUUAGUAUCUAUCCGAAAGGUUGGCCUGGUAAUGAGUAGGCGAAGAACAGCUUGAUCAUCAAGUAAAAAAUGGGGCACAGUUCGAAGAAGAAGAAGAAGCACGGCGGAGGGGGUCGAUUAAAGGGCAGAGCUCCGUCGAAGGAUCACGGUUCUCACGCACGCGAUGACAAUGAACAUAUCUCCGAGGAGAUAACCGCAUUGUGCGCGAUAUUUCAAGACGAGUGCCAAGUUAUUUCAAACUCACCUCCUCUGAUCAACAUCAAGCUCAGGCCAUACUCCAAGGAUGCAGGCUCUGAGGAUUUAGAGGUUUCUGCUCUUCUUUCAGUGAGGUUUUUACCUGGCUAUCCAUACAAGUGCCCUAAACUUCAGAUAACUCUGGAUAAGGGUUUGUCAAAAGCUGAUGCUGAGAACCUUCUAUCUUUGCUACAUGACCAGGCUAAUUCUAAUGCUCGGGAAGGGCGCGUCAUGAUUUAUAAUUUGGUUGAAGCAGCUCAAGAGUUCUUGUCUGAAAUUGUUCCAGUAGGGCAGCCAUAUAGAUCUGUGCCGUGCCAGGAAACAGAGAGGAGCAAUCAGUUGUCCCUGAAUGCUGCAGAUUCACGUAACAAGAUUCCUUGUUCUAGGGGACCUUUUGUUUAUGGUUUCGUAGAUCUUUUCAGUGGGUCUGGCGAGUCAUGGCAUUGGGGUCUUGAAUUGGAAGAGAUUCAUGGAAUAAAUCCUUCAGUGCAAUCCCAAACACUAGAGAAUAAAAUUGACCCCAAAGUGAAGCCAACUGUGGUUCAGGAAGUGAAGCAAGUUCCUAUAGUACUUCCAGUUACAAAACUAGAUACUCUUGAAGAAGAGUGCGAAGACAAUAGCAAGAACUUAUCCGCUAGCGAUACAACUAGAAUGUUCUCAGGGGAAUCAGUGGGAACAGGUACCACUGAUGAGGCCAAGGAUCUGAUAGUAGAUCAUCCUGAAGAUGGUGAUGAUUUUUAUUUUGAUAGUGACCCUUUGGAAUCAGUAUCUUCUGCUUCUGGUAUUCCUGACCAAUUAUCUCAGACCACGGAAAGAGAUUUGAUUCUAGCUCACCUCCUUCGUCUUGCUUGUGCAUCUAAAGAUCAACUUGCUGAUGCUUUGCAAGAAAUAACCUCUGAGCUGUAUAAACUAGGAGUUAUUUCAGAACGAGUGCAGGAUUUAGCUACCAAACCAUCUUCAUUCUUUGACCAAACUUUUGAUGAUGUUUUUAGGCAAAGAAUGGUUACAUCCAAAAUCUCUCAAUUCUGGAAAACUGCUGCUGAUUUUGGAGGCCAGAAUUCUUCACGUACUGCAAGUUCCCGAUAUCUCAAUGACUUCGAGGAGCAAAAACCCCUUGGUCACGGUGGAUUCGGUCAUGUUGUAUUGUGCAAGAAUAAGCUAGAUGGAAGGCAGUAUGCUGUCAAGAAGAUUCGCUUGAAGGACAAAGGCCCUCCUGUUAAUGACCGUAUCCUGCGAGAGGUAGCCACGCUUGCACGGUUACAGCACCAGCAUGUCGUGCGUUAUUAUCAGGCAUGGUAUGAAAGGGGAUUUGUUGGUAGCCAUGCUGAUGCCACAUUGGGCUCAAUGACUGCAGUGAGCUCCAGUAUUAGUGACACAGUUGCAAGUUCGGCAUAUAAUGAGAAUAAGCUUGAAUCGACCUAUCUUUACAUUCAAAUGGAAUUUUGCCCAAGGACACUGAGGCAGAUGUUUGAAUCGUACAAUCACUUCGACAAGGAAUUGGCAUGGCAUUUGUUUCGCCAAAUUGUAGAGGGCCUGGCACACAUACACGCACAGGGAAUCAUACAUCGUGACUUGACUCCAAAUAAUAUCUUCUUUGAUGCUCGGAAUGAUAUUAAAAUUGGCGAUUUUGGUCUGGCUAAGUUUUUGAAGCUAGAACAGAUGGACCAGGAUCCAGAUCCUGCAGAAACAGCUGGAGUUUCUGUGGAUCGUACAGGUCAAGUUGGUACCUAUUUCUAUACUGCACCUGAAAUUGAGCAAGGGUGGCCGAAGAUCGAUGAAAAGGCUGACAUGUACAGCUUAGGGAUUGUGUUCUUUGAGCUUUGGCACCCAUUUGGAACUGAUAUGGAGAGGCAUAUUGUUCUUUCCGAUCUUAAACAGAAGGGAGAACUUCCUGCUGCUUGGGUUACUGAAUUUCCAGACCAGGCUUCCUUGUUACGGCGGUUGAUGUCCUCAAGUCCUUCAGAUCGUCCGUCAGCUACAGAACUACUCAAACAUGCUUUUCCUCCACGAAUGGAAUAUGAGUUGCUUGACAAUAUUCUACGGACAAUGCAUGCAUCAGAAGAUACCAGUGUCUAUGAUAAAGUUGUGGCUGCUGUAUUCAGUGAGGACUUUUUAGGCGCUAAUGACCACAAUGAGCAUGGUGGGAGACUAGGCUCAACUGGAAGCAUUGCUUCAUCCAUCCAGUACACUGACUCCGAUACUGAGGUGAGGGACCAGGUUGCGGAGGUCGCUAAGGAAGUGUUCAGACAACAUUGUGCGAAACAUGUGGAGAUAAUACCCGUGAGGCUGCUGGGAGAUUGCCCAGCAAUCAAUAGGAAUGCUGUAAAACUUUUGACCCAUGGGGGAGACAUGGUGGAGCUUUGCUAUGAGCUACGGUUGCCCUUUGUGAAUUGGGUUAUUGCAAACCAGAAGGCAUUUUUCAAAAGGUAUGAGAUAUCCUAUGUUUAUCGUCGAGCAAUUGGUCAUUCACCACCAAAUCGUUAUCUCCAGGGAGAUUUGGAUAUUAUUGGAGGAGCAGCAGCAUUGACAGAGGCAGAGGCUAUCAAGGCAUCGAUGGACAUCAUAUAUCGCUUUUUAAAUUCAGAAUCAUGUGAUAUUCAUCUAAAUCAUGGAGAUCUAUGGGAAGCAAUCUGGUCCUGGAUAGGGAUAAAGGUAGAGCAUAGACGGAAAGUAGCAGAGCUUCUCUCUCUGUUGGGUACUUUGCGUCCUCAGUCAUCUGAAAGAAAGUCAAAAUGGGUGGUAAUAAGACGACAACUUCGACAGGAACUCAAUCUUGCAGAAGCUGCUGUAAAUAGAUUGCAGACGGUGGGAUUAAGGUUCUGCGGAGUUGCAGAUCAGGCCCUUCCUAGAUUGCGAGGUGCCCUUCCUGCUGAGAAACUCACAAGAAAGGCACUUGAUGAAUUGUCAGAGCUUUUCAGCUAUUUAAGAGUUUGGAGGAUCGAGAAACACGUGUUCAUAGAUGCCCUCAUGCCACCAGAUGAGAGUUAUCACAGAGAUUUAUUUUUUCAGAUAUAUGCUAGAAAGGAGAACAAUCCUGCAUCACUUAUGGAAGGGACACUGCUGGCCGUUGGGGGUCGCUUUGACUAUCUACUUCAUCCACUGUGGGCACGUUUCUAUAAAUCAAAUCCUCCUGGUGCUGUUGGAGUUAGCAUUGCUCUUGAGACAAUAAUUCAGCAUUGUUCUGUAGAUAUCAGGCCUUUUAGAUAUGAGGCUAGCAGUAAUGUACUAGUUUGUUCUAGAGGAAGAGGUGGUUUAUUGGAAGAGCGCAUGGAACUAGUUGCUGAGCUGUGGGAGGAGAACAUCAAGGCUGAGUUUGUCCCAGUGUCUGAUCCAAGCCUUACAGAACAGUACGAAUAUGCAAAUGACCAUGAUAUUAAAUGUAUUGUCAUCGUAACAGACACCCAAAAAGAUUCAGUUAAGGUCCGUCAUCUUGAGCUGAAGAAGGAGAAGGAAGUUGACAGAGAAAACCUUGUGAAGUUUCUAUCAGAGGCAAUGGCAACACAAUUUAGAAAUCCAUCCAUUUGGAGCUAGGCCAGUUCACUUUCAAGACAUUGCCUCUCAGGCGAGGGCUUCUGAUUCAUUUGGAUUUUGGACCACAUUCCAAUGCUUAGGCAUGUCCCCCAGCUGCCUUUCAGUCGGAUUGGAACAUGCAUCGGAAUGCACUGUGUUGUUGGUUUUGAUACUCCAUUAUUAUGGUCCCUUCAGAUGGUGCUCUUCAAUCCUGGACCUGCAACAGACUAUGGUGUGAAUUGUCCAAAAAAAGGAGGAAAAUCAUAUGUCGAUUUUGUGGCUGCAAUUUUUUGGUUUUAUCGAAGUACUUGAGGUCUAUACUCAAGGCCAUACUUAAGGAUACUUCCCCUUCUCCCUUAAUUUUACCUAAGUCAAUUCUUCUACUAGCAGAGAAUAAAUAGCCAAUAGUCAAUCAAUUAGAGAAGUUUCAUUUUUCAUUAACUUUUGACUUGUGAAUAACAACAAAUUUUCGUUUCACAGAAAAAAGGGGAGGAAAAUGACGAUUGAAUGCCCUUCUUUAUUGUGCCCAAAUAUCAAGGUCAUUUGUAAAUAUGCGCAUUAAGGGGAUGCUUGUAGAUUUUGAAUCAUUAUUGUAGAAAUUUUGCUUUGUUAAUCU